rnacentral:misc_RNA from 1 species
GGGUUUUUAUAGUUGAAUGACAAAGCAGCCGUAGAAGAGAUGAAAAGAUCAGUCACAUGGCACAAGUAGGACAUAAAAAAACAGUAAAAAGGCUGCCAAAUAACGCGGUUUUAAGGUCCCGCUGUGGCUACUGAAUUAUUUUUGUUAAAUAUGGGACAAAAUAUUUUAGUCCAAUCAAAUGCUUCAACUUGUGAUAAUGUGAU